GAGAGUGUAGCUCAAAUGGUAGCGCACAUGCUUAGCAUGCACAAGGUCCUGGGUUCAAUUCCCAGUACCUCCA
rnacentral:tRNA from 1 species